ensembl:misc_RNA Metazoa_SRP Metazoan signal recognition particle RNA
GCUGGGCGUGUUGGCACGUGCCUGUAAUCCCAGCUACUCAGGAGGCUAAGACAGGAGAAUCACUUGAACCCAGGAGGUGGAGGUUGCAGUGAGCAGAGAUCAUGCCACUACACUCCAGCCUGGGUGAUAGAGUGAGACUCUGUCUAAA